GAGGAAAGCUGGCGGCGCGCUUAACACAUGCCAGUCGAACGGAAAGGCCUGCUUUCCCUUGUGGAUUGCGGGUACUCGAGUGGCGAACGGGUGAGUAACACGUGAGUGAUCUGCCCCCAACUUGGGUAUAAGCCUGGGAAACUGGGUCUAAUUCCCGAUAGGACUGCAGGGUGGUGCCUGUGGUGGAAAACGAUUUUCUAGUGGUUGGGGAUGAGCUCGCGGCCUAUCAGCUUGUUGGUGGGGUAAUGGCCUACCAAGGCGGCGACGGGUAGCCGGCCUGAGAGGGUGGACGGCCACAUUGGGACUGAGAUACGGCCCAGACUCCUACGGGAGGCAGCAGUGGGGAAUAUUGCACAAUGGGCGGAAGCCUGAUGCAGCGACGCCGCGUGGGGGAUGACGGCCUUCGGGUUGUAAACUCCUUUCGACCGCGAGGAAGCCACCUGGUUGGAAGGGUGGUGACGGUAGUGGUAGAAGAAGCACCGGCUAACUACGUG
rnacentral:rRNA from 1 species